GCGAUGGUCGGACGCUUGAGGACCAGGUUGUACGCCGC
rnacentral:scRNA from 1 species